UACGUAGGGGGCUAGCGUUGUCCGGAAUCAUUGGGCGUAAAGCGCGUGUAGGCGGCCCGGUAAGUCCGCUGUGAAAGUCGGGGGCUCAACCCUCGGAUGCCGGUAGAUACUGUCGGGCUCGAGUACGGAAGAGGCGAGUGGAAUUCCUGGUGUAGCGGUGAAAUGCGCAGAUAUCAGGAGGAACACCAAUUGCGAAGGCAGCUCGCUGGGACGUUACUGACGCUGAGACGCGAAAGCGUGGGGAGCAAACAGG
rnacentral:rRNA from 1 species